rnacentral:rRNA from 1 species
ACAUAACUGAUGCCUCCGCGUAUCGACUUUGUGCGCAUUUUAGCUAUUAUGUGUUCUUUUAAUUAAAAUGAUUCUUUUUAAGAUUCAUCUAUUAAAAAUUUGCUUCUGCAUAAUUUUUUUUGAUGAUCUUGUUACUUUGAGUAAAUUAGAGUGUUCAAAGCAAACAGAUAUAGCAUUUGUGCGUUUGAAUACUACAGCAUGGAAUAACAAAAUUGAACAAGUCAGAAUUUUUUUGUUCUUUUUUCUUAUUUUGGCUUAGUUACGAUUAAUAGGAGUAGCUUGGGGGCAUUUGUAUUCAGAUGUCAGAGGUGAAAUUCUUAGAUUUUCUGGAGACAAACAACUGCGAAAGCAUUUGCCUAAAAUACUUCCAUUAAUCAAGAACGAAAGUUAAGGGAGUGAAGACGAUCAGAUACCGUCGUAAUCUUAACCAUAAACUAUGCCGACUAGGCUUUGGAUGAAAGAUUUUAAAAUAAGAGUUUUUCUUUUCUCUCCGGAGAUUAGAACUCUUAGAUUGCUUCCUUCAGUGCCUUAUGAGAAAUCAAAGUCUUUGGGUUCUGGGGCGAGUAUUCGCGCAAGCGAGAAAGUUAAAAGAAUUGACGGAAGGGCACCACCAGGCGUGGAGCUUGCGGCUUAAUUUGACUCAACACGGGAAAACUCACUAGUUUAAGACAAGAGUAGGAUUGACAGAUUAAUAGCUCUUUCUUGAUUUCUUGGAUGGUGAUGCAUGGCCGUUUUUAGUUCGUGAAUAUGAUUUGUCUGGGUUAAUUCCGAUAACGAACGAGAUCUUAACCUGCUAAUUAGCGGCAAAUACGAUAUAUUCUUAUGUAGAAUUGAAUACAGGGGAUUUGUUAGAUUUUGAAGAAAAUAUUGGAAUUACGUUAAAUGUGAUUCCUUUCCCUUUUCUACUUAAUUUACAUUUCCAUCUAUUUCUUUUUUGCGUAUGAAUGUAUUUGCUUGAUUGUAAAGCUUCUUAGAGGAACGAUGUGUG